rnacentral:lncRNA from 1 species
UUUUCCCCACUUUGAGCCUGAAGCCCUUCUUUGGACACCCACUUCUUAGCCACUACCCUUUUUAGUGCUUACAUGUACUAUCCUUCUCUUGGCCCAACCUUCUUGAGUGCACCAAAAAUGUGCAAAUUAUAAGAGAAGAUCCAUGUUUGAAGUUACCAAAGGCAAAAGAUACAAAGUCUCCCAAAGUUGAGGAAAAAAAAAACUACUUCUAGAAAAAAGAAAAAAAAAAGGUGGAAAGAAAUAAAGAAAGUCAAAAACACCCCUACAAGGACAAUGAAAGACGAG